GGAGGUCCGAACCCACGAGCGUUGAAAAGCUCGGGGAUGACUUGUGGGUAGCGGUGAAAUUCCAAUCGAGCCCGGAGAUAGCUGGUUCUCCCCGAAAUAGCUUUAGGGCUAGCCUCAAGGUGAGAGAUACGGAGGUAGAGCACUGAAUGUCCUAGGGGGUAUUGCACCUACCGAAGACUAUCAAACUCCGAAUGCCGUCAUCUUAUACUUGGGAGUCAGACUGUGGGUGAUAAGAUUCAUAGUCGAAAGGGCAACAGCCCAGAUCGUCAGCUAAGGUCCCUAAAUGUAAGUUAAGUGGUAAAGGAUGUGGGAUUGCACAGACAACCAGGAUGUUGGCUUAGAAGCAGCCACUCAUUCAAAGAGUGCGUAAUAGCUCACUGGUCGAGUGAUCCUGCGCCGAAGAUUUCCGGGGCUAAAACUUACUACCGAAGCUACGGCAUCAGUAAUGAUGGGUAGGGGAGCUUCCCAUACGGGUUGAAGCAUGACCGUAAGGACAUGUGGACAGUAUGGGAGUGAGAAUGUUGGCAUGAGUAGCGAGAUGUGGGUGGGAAUCCCACAGGCCGUAAACCCAAGGUUUCCAGGGGAAGGUUCGUCCGCCCUGGGUUAGUCGGGACCUAAGCUGAGGCCGAAAGGCGUAGGUGA
rnacentral:rRNA from 1 species